rnacentral:rRNA from 1 species
CGAGUUUGAUCAUGGCUCAGGACGAACGCUGGCGGUGCGCCUUAUGCAUGCAAGUCGAGCGAAGCUUUUCAGUAGUUUACUACAGAAAAUGACUGAGCGGCGAACGGGUGAGUAACGCGUGAGCAAUCUACCUUAGUUACAGGGAUAGCCCGAGGAAACUCGGAUUAAUACCUGAUAUUCUUUAUAUUUCGCAUGAAAUUAAAAGGAAAGGUCAGCCGAACUAAGAUGAGCUCGCGUUCUAUCAGCUAGUUGGUGAGGUAAAAGCUCACCAAGGCUACGACGGAUAGCUGGUCUGAGAGGACGAUCAGCCACACUGGGACUGAGACACGGCCCAGACUCCUACGGGAGGCUGCAGCAGGGAAUAUUGCGCAAUGAGCGAAAGCUUGACGCAGCGACACCGCGUGUGGGAUGACGGAUCUAGGUUUGUAAACCACUUUCAGGAGGGAAGAAAAUGACGGUACCUCCACAAGAAGCCCCGGCCAACUACGUGCCAGCAGCCGCGGUAAUACGUAGGGGGCGAGCGUUGUCCGGAUUUAUUGGGCGUAAAGAGCUCGUAGGCGGUUCAACAAGUCGGUCGUGAAAGUUCAGGGCUCAACCCUGAAAUGUCGAUCGAUACUGUUGUGACUAGGAUACGGUAGAGGUGAGUGGAAUUCCGAGUGUAGCGGUGAAAUGCGUAGAUAUUCGGAGGAACACCAAUUGCGAAGGCAGCUCACUGGGCCGCUAUCGACGCUGAGGAGCGAAAGCUAGGGGAGCAAACAGGAUUAGAUACCCUGGUAGUCCUAGCUGUAAACGAUGGAUACUAGACGUAG